GCGGCGGGACCGGGUGAGAGCGGAGCGUGGUGAGCGUCCGGAGUGAGCCCGCCGGGUGCCCGAAGUGUCCCCGCAGUGUUCCCGCAGUCUCCGUGCCGUGCCCCCACGGUGUACUUCUAGACAGUGUCCCUAUAUUUUCCCCACAGUGUCUUCCCAAUGUCUCUCCGCCGUGCCCCCGCAGUGUCCCGGCUGGGUCCCCACUGUCUCCUCACAGUGUCCCCGCAAAGCCGCUGCCGUUUUCCCCACAGUGUCUCUACUGUGUCCCACGUUGUCCCUGCCGUGUCCCCAUAGUGCCCUCCCUGUCUCCCCCACAGUGUCCCCACCGUUUCCCCUACAGCGUCAACACCGUAUCUCCACAAUGUUCCCGUUGUGUCCCCACAGUACCCUCGCAGUGUCCCCAAUGCCUCCCCACCCUGUCCCCACAGUGUCCCCACUGUCCCUGAUAACGUUGCCCGUGUCCCAGCAGUGUCCCCACAGUCUCCCUGCCAUGUCCCCACUGUGGCCCCACCGUGUCCUCCCCGUCUCCGCACAGUGGUCCCACAGUGUCCCUGCUCUCUAGACAAACCAGCGGUUUUCUCUCCUCAGUGUGUUGGUCAGUGUGGGCUUAAAGUGUUCCAGCCAUGAAAACGUCAGGAGGGUUGACACAAACCAACACUUCAGACACAAACUUGUGCCUGCGCAAGUAUCUAUUUUUUUUCCCCCAGAAUAUUUAGGGUUGGACGGGACCUCUGAAGACCAUCCAGUGGAAACAGGGUCACCUGAAGCAGGGCAAUGUCCUGCAACUUGGAACUUAGUAAUCCCAAAUUCUCACCUGGACAAAGCCUCAGUCCUCUGCCUAUCCAGAGUUUCCUGCAAGAGUUGACAUUAGUCUGCAAAACCCUUCAUCAAAGACCUUUAGUACCUCAAAUAUCUCCUCACUUCCAUUUUAUUUUGACACCCUGAGACCAGGCAGCUGCUUCUCUCACCUCUGCCUUAGAGCUCUCACAGGAGUUGUCAGCGUCACCUUCUGAAAUAAGCUGAAACUCUUACUCAAAACUUCACUGUUUGGAUCGCUGUGCCAACUCAAAUACAACUGCUGUUCGUGACAAACACAUGCUUUACAAAAUGAAGGAUAAAGAAUUGUGUCAACUAGAGAUAGAGAGGAAGAUGAAACAAGCACAGGAAUACACAAGAGGGAAAAAGAAGCAGCAAGAACAUUGUGUUCAUCAGUCAUGGACCCAAAUUAGCCUGGGAAAGAGAUCUGGAAAUUAUAUUAACUACUCCUGUGAAAGCAUCAGAGAAAAAUCAUUGAGAGAAGCAAUAACUUAUUUUCCUGGAAGUGAAAAGGAACUGUAUUUCUGCUGGGAGUUCAGAAUUGCUUCUCCUUCACAAAGGCCUCAGAUGAUUGUGGUUUGAUGAGACAGAAACUUCUGAAGUGGGAUUAAGAAAAUGUCUGUUCUAGGAUCCUGUUUUGUGCCUGGAAAGUUGGUUCCUCCCAGCACAGACCCUGCAACCCACUCCCUGAUCACCUGCUGCAGGUCCAAGUGAAGCAGGAACCAGCUGGGUAAAAAUUCUGUGGUUUUGUGACCCAAGGAAUUGGUUCUUCAGCUAUUUAGGGAAUUAUCAGUGAAGGACUUCCCACUUACCUGCACCAUGGAAGCGGAUGUGGCUGGAAAAGCCUUUGUUCUCUCAUCCCACUUUGUACCUGGUUCACCACCCCAUGGCUCAGCCCAGGACCACUCAUUGGGAUCCAUUCCUGCCUGGAAUUUUGGAACUCCAGCUGACAGUGCUUGUGCACAGUGGUUCUCUUCGACUUGUGCCAACCUGUGCCAGUGCUUCCCCAGGAUUUUACACAGGAAUACGUGAGGAUACUCCUGCUCUUCCUUCCCUGCCCCACUUCAUCCAGUCUGAUACCAGCCAGAAGUUAAAAAUAUGAAGAAAAUCCACCGAAAGAAAUGAAAAUAUUUUUGUUUCGUUUCGUUUAUGGUGUUCA